CCUACGGGAGGCAGCAGUGAGGAAUAUUGGUCAAUGGACGAGAGUCUGAACCAGCCAAGUAGCGUGAAGGAUGACUGCCCUAUGGGUUGUCAACUUCUUUUAUAUGGGAAUAAAACAGGGUAUGCAUACCAUCUUGUAUGUACCAUAUGAAUAAGGAUCGGCUAACUACGUGCCAGCAGCAGCGGUAAUACGGAGGAUCCGAGCGUUAUCCGGAUUUAUUGGGUUUAAAGGGAGCGUAGGUGGAUUGUUAAGUCAGUUGUGAAAGUUUGCGGCUCAACCGUAAAAUUGCAGUUGAAACUGGCAGUCUUGAGUGCGCAAGAGGGAUGCGGAAUGCGUGGUGUAGCGGUGAAAUGCAUAGAUAUCACGCAGAACUCCGAUUGCGAAGGCAGCAUACCGGCGCGCAACUGACGCUCAUGCAUGAAAGCGUGGGUAUCGAACAGGAUUAGAUACCCCUGUAGUC
rnacentral:rRNA from 1 species